rnacentral:rRNA from 1 species
AUACGUAGGGUGCAAGCGUUAAUCGGAAUUACUGGGCGUAAAGAGUGCGCAGGCGGUUUUGUAAGACAGUGGUGAAAUCCCCCGGCCCAACCUGGGAACUGGCAUUGUGACUGCAAGGCUGGAGGGCGGCAGAGGGGGAUGGAAUUUCGCGUGUAGCAGUGAAAUGUGGAGAUAUGCGGAGGAACACCGAUGGAGAAGGCAUUCCCCUGGGCCUGCACUGACGCUCAUGCACGAACGCGUGGGGAACAAACAGGAUUAUAUACCCUGGUAUUCCACGCCCUAAACGAUGUCAACUGGUUGUUGGGGAUUUAUUUUCUCAGUAACGAAGCUAACGCGUGAAGUUGACCGCCUGGGGAGUACGGCCGCAAGGUUAAAGCUCAAAUGAAUUGACGGGG